UACGUAGGGGGCUAGCGUUGUCCGGAUUUAUUGGGCGUAAAGAGCGUGUAGGCGGCCAGAUAGGUCUGCUGUGAAAACUCGAGGCUCAACCUCGAGCUGUCGGCGGAAACCAUUUGGCUAGAGUCCGGAAGAGGAGAGUGGAAUUCCUGGUGUAGCGGUGAAAUGCGCAGAUAUCAGGAAGAACACCUAUGGCGAAGGCAGCUCUCUGGGACGGUACUGACGCUGAGGCGCGAAAGCGUGGGGAGCGAACAGG
rnacentral:rRNA from 1 species